rnacentral:rRNA from 1 species
UACGUAGGGGGCAAGCGUUGUCCGGAAUCAUUGGGCGUAAAGAGCGUGUAGGCGGCCUUAUAAGUCGGCUGUGAAAGUCAAGGGCUCAACCCUUGAAUGCCGGCCGAUACUGUGAGGCUAGAGUCCGGAAGAGGCGAGUGGAAUUCCUGGUGUAGCGGUGAAAUGCGCAGAUAUCAGGAGGAACACCGGUGGCGAAGGCGGGUCUCUGGGACGGUACUGACGCUGAGACGCGAAAGCGUGGGGAGCAAACAGG